rnacentral:rRNA from 1 species
AUACGUAGGGUGCGAGCGUUGUCCGGAAUUACUGGGCGUAAAGAGCUCGUAGGUGGUUUGUCGCGUCGUCUGUGAAAUUCCGGGGCUUAACUCCGGGCGUGCAGGCGAUACGGGCAUAACUUGAGCACUGUAGGGGAGACUGGACUUCAUGGUGUAGCGGUGAAAUGGGCAGUUAUCAGGAGGAACACCGGUGGCGAAGGCGGAGCUCUGGGGUGGCCCGGAGGCGGAGGUUCGAAAGCAUGGGUUGCGAACAGAAUUAUAUCCCUGGGUAGUCCAGGUCGUAAACGGUGUUCACUGGUUGUAGGGGUCUACCAUGCUUUGUGUGCCGUAGCUAAAGCAAUAAGCGCCACGCCUUGGGAGUACGGUCGCAAGGCUAAAGCUGAAAGGAGUUGACGGGU